rnacentral:lncRNA from 1 species
AGGGCGCCCAGCGUCUCCUCAAGUUGCAGAACGAACUCGGGGGCCGUGCACUCUUCCAGGAUGUGCAGAAGCCAUCUCAAGAUGAGUGGGGUAAAACCCUGGAGGCCAUGGAAGCUGCCUUGGCCCUGGAGAAGAACCUGAACCAGGCCCUCUUGGAUCUGCACGCCCUGGGCUCUGCCCGCACAGACCCUCACCUCUGUGACUUCUUGGAAAGACACUUCCUGGAUAAGGAGGUGAAGCUCAGCAAGAAGAUGGGCAACCACCUGACCAACCUCCGUAGGGUGGCAGGGCCACAACCAGCGCAGACUGGCGUGGCCCAGGCAUCUCUGGGCGAGUAUCUCUUUGAGCGCCUCAUUCUGAAGCACGACUAGGCCUCUGUGCCUUCCAAGGGGCUCCCUCCUCUGCUCUACACCGGCCGCCUCAGCACCUCCACCCGAAUGAACGUCUAAAGCCACUAGGUAGCUUUGUAACCGCCCUGGAGCCUCUCCCAAGUCUUGGACCAAGUAAAAACAAAGCUUUUUGGAAAAAAAAAA